UACGAAGGGUGCAAGCGUUACUCGGAAUUACUGGGCGUAAAGCGUGCGUAGGCGGUUUGUUAAGUCUGUUGUGAAAGCCCCGGGCUCAACCUGGGAAUGGCAAUGGAUACUGGCAAGCUAGAGUGCGGUAGAGGAGAGUGGAAUUCCCGGUGUAGCGGUGGAAUGCGCAGAUAUCGGGAAGAACACCCGUGGCGAAGGCGGCUCUCUGGGACGGUACUGACGCUGAGACGCGAAAGCGUGGGGAGCGAACAGG
rnacentral:rRNA from 1 species